UACGUAGGGUGCGAGCGUUAAUCGGAAUUACUGGGCGUAAAGCGUGCGCAGGCGGUUCGCCAAGUCAGGUGUGAAAUCCCCGGGCUCAACCUGGGAACUGCAUUUGAGACUGCAUGGCUGGAGUGCGGCAGAGGGGGACGGAAUUCCGCGUGUAGCAGUGAAAUGCGUAGAUAUGCGGAGGAACACCGAUGGCGAAGGCAAUCCCCUGGGCCUGCACUGACGCUCAUGCACGAAAGCGUGGGGAGCAAACAGG
rnacentral:rRNA from 1 species